GUUAAGGAUGGGGGCAGCCUGAUCAGCCAUGCCGCGUGUGUGAAGAAGGCCUUCUGGUUGUAAAGCACUUUUGUCCGGAAAGAGGCGGCUUGGAUUAGUACUUUUGGGUAUUGACCGUACCACAAAAAAAAGGCCCGGUCAACUUCUGGCCCCCCGCCCGGGUAAAACCUAAGGGCGUUACCUUAAUUUGAUUUACCGGGCGGAAAGGGGGGCCAAGCUGUUUUUCAAAACCGAAUGUAAACCCCCGAACUUAACCUUAGAAUUGGAUUGGGGACUGCGCGGCUGAAGUGAGGGGGAGGGGGGUUCAAUUCCAAGUGGUAACGUGAUAAUGCUUCAGAUGCAAAUCAAUACGCAUGGGCAACGCACCCCCCUGGAAUAACAUUGACGCUCUGGCGCAAAAACGUAUGAAGAACACAGGAUAACAUACCCCGUGCACACCCCGCCCUAAACAAUGUCCCUAUUUGCGGGGGAUCCUUUUCCUUUUUAACGGCGCUAAUGCGUGAAUUUGACCACCUGGGGGGGACGGCCGCAAAAUUAAAACACUUGAGAUUUGUCGGCGG
rnacentral:rRNA from 1 species